rnacentral:rRNA from 1 species
GUCCACACUGUAAACGAUGAUCACUAGCUGUUGGCAAUAAACAGUCAGCGGCAAAGCGAAAGCAUUAAGUGAUCCACCUGGGGAGUACGGCGGCAACGCUGAAACUCAAAAGGAAUUGACGGGGGCCCGCACAAGCGGUGGAACAUGUGGUUUAAUUCGAUGAUACGCGAGGAACCUUACCUGGGCUUAAAAUGUGAGACGACGUUACGGGAAACCGUAAUUCCCUUCGGGGCGUUUUGCAAGGUGCUGCAUGGUUGUCGU